AUGGCGGAGGCCGCGCCGCAUCACCCGGCGCUGCCCUCGGGGCUGCUGGAGCUGUGCGCGCUGCUGGGGGCCCCCCGGGACAGCCUUCGCGGCCCGGAGCAGGUUGCCCAGAGGAAGGGAGUCAAGGACCUGUCUUCUCUAGAUCCGGAGGUGCUGUCGGUCUUCGUGCCUCCUUUUGUCAUGAAGGAGGACAGUCAGCCCGCCGCCGUGAACUGCAUGACGCUGGCUAAGAACAGGAAGCGCUCCUUCCGGAAGAAGAGAGAGAGGCCCAGAGUGGAGCUGGGGAAGGGCGUCCCCGGCGGCCCUAGGGGCCCGGACCCCGAGGACGUGAACAUCCCCAACGGCGUGGACCUGCUCGCUCUGCCGCAGCUCUGCUUCCCAGGGGGCUUGUGUGUGGCCUCUGAGCCCAGAGAGGACUGUGUCCACUUUCUGGUGCUGACCGACGUCUGCGGCAACAGAACCUACGGCGUGGUGGCGCAGUACUACCGACCCCUGCACGAUGAGUACUGCUUCUACAACGGCAAGACGCACUGGGAGGCGCCCGGCUGCUUCGUGCCCUUCGCGGUGUGCGUGGUCUCCAGGUUCCCCUAUUACAACGCCCUCAAGGACUGUCUCUCCUGUUUAUUGACUCAUCUGAAGUUCUGUAAAGAUUUCGAAGUUGACAACCACAUAAAAGACUUUGCUGCAAAACUAUCUUUAAUACCCAGCCCGCCCCCUGGACCACUCCAUUUGAUAUUUAACAUGAAACCACUACAGAUCGUGUUUCCCUCGAGAGCGGACCCCGAAAGCCCCCUCAUCGACUUGGACCUUCACCUGCCCUUGCUGUGCUUCAGACCUGAGAAGGUGCUACAGAUCCUCACCUGCCUCCUGACGGAGCAGCGCAUCGUCUUCUUCUCGUCCAGCUGGGCUCUGCUGACGCUCGUGGCCGAGUGCUUCAUGGCCUACCUGCACCCCCUGCAGUGGCAGCACACCUUCGUGCCCAUCCUGUCCGGGCAGAUGCUGGACUUCCUCAUGGCGCCAACCUCCUUCCUCAUGGGCUGCCACCUCGACCACUUUGAGGAGGUCAGCAAGGAAGCCGAUGGUUUAAUUCUGAUAAACAUCGACAAUGGGAACAUCACCUACUCUAACGAUGAGGAGGUUGAUGUUCCCGACAUCCCUCUCCUGGCCGCACAGACGUUUAUUCAGAGGGAAGUGAAGAAUCACUUGAAUUAUGAACAUAGAGUGUUCAAUAGUGAAGAGUUUCUCAAAACAAGAGCUCUAGGGGACCAGCAGUUUUAUAAACAGGUCCUGGAUACAUACAUGUUUCACGCCUUCCUCAAGGCCCGGCUCAGCAGAAGGAUGGACGCCUUUGCCCAGAUGGACCUCCACACGCAGUCUGAGGAGGACAGGAUAAACGGGAUGCUCCUGAGUCCGAGGAGACCCACGAUCGAGAAGAUGGCCAGCCGGAAGUCCUCAACCCCACACGCGGCCCACCGGCGCAUGGUGGUCAGCAUGCCCAACCUGCAGGACAUCGCAGUGCCGGAGCUGCCGCCCCGGAACGCGUCGCUUCGGAAGAUACAGACCACGGAGUGUGGGAGCAGCGGCGCAGUUCUGGACAUGCCCCCCAAGUCGACACACACCUUCAAGAUCCCGGAAAUCCACUUCCCGCUGGUGGCCCAGUGCGUGCAGGCGUUCUACGCGGACUGUGUGGCCCAGCUGAGCAAGGCCAUAGGCUCACUGACCCCCGAGAACUCGGUGCUGCUGGCCAGGUACUUCUACCUGCGGGGGCUGGUGCGGCUGAUGCAGGGCCAGCUGCUGGGCGCUCUGCUGGACUUCCAGAGCCUGUAUAAGACCGACGUGUGCGUCUUCCCCGCCGACCUCGUCCAGAUGACUGUGGAGUCCCUGUCGGCACCCGAGCGCACGCAGGCCGAGCGCACGCCCGAGCUGCUCCGGCUCAUCAGCGAGGUCAUGGACAGGCCCGCGGACGCCCCCAAGGCCGACGACCGCGUCAAGAACUUCGAGCUGCCCAAGAAGCACAUGCAGCUGGACGACUUCGUGAAGAGGGUGCAGGAGUCGGGCAUCGUGAAGGACACCAGUGUCAUACACCGGCUGUUCGAGGCGCUGACUGUAGGACACCAGAAACAGAUUGACCCAGAAACGUUCAAAGAUUUCUACAACUGCUGGAAGGAGGCAGAAGCCGAGGCGCAGGAGGUCAGCCUGCCUUUGUCGGUGAUGGAGCAGCUGGACAAAAGCGAGUGUGUGUACAAGCUGUCGCGCUCCGUCAAGACGAAUCGCGGGGUGGGCAAGAUCGCCAUGACCCAGAAGCGCCUGUUCCUCCUCACGGAGGGGCGGCCGGGCUACGCGGAGAUCUCCACCUUCAGGAACAUAGAGGACGUCAGAAGCACCAUGGCCACUUUUCUGCUCCUGAGAAUUCCCACGUUAAAAAUCAAAACGGCGUCCAAGAAGGAAGUCUUUGAAGCUAACCUGAAGACGGAGUGUGACCUCUGGCACCUGAUGGUGAAGGAGAUGUGGGCCGGCAGGAAGCUGGCCGACGACCACAAGGACCCCCAGUACGUACAGCAGGCGCUGACCCACAUUCUCUUGAUGGACGCGGUCGUCGGCACGCUGCAGUCGCCGGGAGCCAUCUAUGCGGCCUCCAAGUUGUCCUACUUUGAUAGGAUGAAGAAUGAAAUGCCCAUGGCGGUUCCGAAGACAACCUCGGAAACCCUGAAACACAAGAUCAACCCCUCGGCGGGGGAGACCGCCCCACGAGCCAUCGACGUGCUGCUCUACACCCCAGGGCAUCUUGACCCGGCGGAAAAAGUGGAGGACGCUCACCCCAAAUUAUGGUGCGCGCUGAACGAGGGCAAGGUGAUCGUAUUCGACGCUUCCUCCUGGACGAUUCACCAGCACUGCUUUAGAGUGGGCGCUUCUAAGCUGAACUGCAUGGUGAUGGCGGAGCAGAGCCAGGUGUGGGUCGGCUCGGAGGACUCCGUCAUCUACAUCAUCAACGUCCACAGCAUGUCCUGCAACAAGCAGCUCACCGACCACCGCGCCAGCGUCACGGGCCUGGCCGUGCAGGACGGGCUGCAGGCACCCAGCACCGUGUACUCGUGCAGCGCGGAUGGAACGGUCCUGGCGUGGAACGCAAGCUCCCUGCAGGUGACCGGCAGAUUCCAGGUGCGCGGUGGAGGGCUCUCGGCUAUCAGACUGCACGGCGGCCGCCUCUGGUGCUGCACUGGAGACAGCAUCCUGGUGGUGAACAUGAAUGGAUAUCCUUGUCAAGAGCUGAAGAUCAACGGGAGAUUUAAAGAGACAGGCACCUCCUUCCGGGGAUUCCAGCUCAUGCCUGAGCAGGAGCAGCUCUGGGCGGCCUGUGCUGGGUACCCCGACGUCUACGUCUGGAGCCUGCAGGACCUAGCCCAGCCCCCACAGAGGAUCCACCUCGAGGACUGCUCUGAGAUCAACUGCAUGAUCAAGGUGAAGAAGCAGAUCUGGGUAGGUGCCACGGGGCUGUCGCAGGGGCAACUGAAGGGGAAGAUCUACGUGAUGGAUGCGGAGAGGAGGACGGUGGAGAAGGAGCUGUUGGCCCACGCGGACACGGUGAAGACGCUGUGCUCCGCGGAGGACAGAUACGUGCUGAGUGGCGCUGGCCGUGAGGAGGGGAAGAUCGCCAUCUGGAAGGUCGAGUGA
rnacentral:lncRNA from 1 species